UACGGAUCGUGGCAGAGUUCUUCCAAUCACCUAUGCCGUGCGCAGCCAGGGCGGUUCCCAUUCUCGGGAGGCCAGCGGCAGGGGUCACUCUUCCCUACGGGCUACGGCCGUGAGCUGGAUACGGUGGUCGGGUAGAAGCGGAGGAGGUCUUUCCCGUUGACGGGAUUCAGUUCAACGGUAGCGGCGCUGCCGGGUCUAACCGCAACCUCAUCGCUAGGGCGGUGCUCGUCCACGUCGCAGCACUACGCGCCGGGGUCAGCACUACCCACGCCUCCCGCUCUCUCCACCGGCUUCGUCGUGUAAUCCUGCAACAGCAAGCUGGUGCAAGAGGUUAGUGAGGUCUCUAUAGGAGAGGCGCUGACAUGUUGGUCUUGUGUCUCCUCUAGUCAUCCCCCAUUCUCGCGACCCCGCGAUUGAAUCUAGAUCCGGAGAUUUCACGGGCUGCCGACGAGUCGCCAUAGUUUAACUGCAAUCGGUCUCAUCUGUAAGUUUUGUCACUGCCUCUACCUCAUGCGCCCAUAAGCUCGUGCUCCGCCCUGCCUCUCCGUACCUGGCCGCCUCCAUCGCCUCUCACGGCAUCCCUACCUAUUUUGAUAGACUGCAAUUUGUUUCUGUCAUGAAUAAUGCAUUAGAAUAUUUUGUGUGUGAUGAACUUGACAUCUACGGGUAUAUGGUAAAUUGUGGUAAGGUAAUUCCAUGUAAAGUGAUCCCUUUAGCCUAUUCAAAUGAGAGCAGAAGGAGACGACCAUGUUAUGUGAAAUUAAAAAAUUUAUGUCAAGGCCUUAUAAUAUUAGAGCAAUCAAUGCAUAUCUUUCUGAAAAGGAGAAGAGUAUCAGUAGCUCAAUUUGUCGAGUGCACAGUCCAACAUUAUCUCAGUUGUAUUUUUUAGUUGUUGUUUGGGAACUGUAAUAUCAUAUCUGAAGGUUAAAGUGACUCUCAAUUAAUACGAUGACCAUGUUCUUGUUGUAUUUCAGUUAUGUGUGCAAAUCAGAUUUUGAGUUCUCCUGGUUUAAUUAAGAACCAGAUCAGUUAUGUAUUCAUCCACUCUCCUCUUUCUUUUUGUGAUCACUGAAAAAGCUUGGUCUAUUUGACGUGAAAAAGAUGGCAGAAUGUGUAACCAUGAUAUUUUCCUAACAUCAAAUUGAUUUGGUUGCAGGAUUCAUUCGGCACCACAUGUAGAUGCAUCGUGAACAAAGGUUCAUUUAUGGAUUUCUAGAAGAUAAAAAAAGGAAUAUUUGUGUCUACCGGCCUGCAUUAUGCUUUAAAAUGUGUUUGCUCAUAUCAAAAAGAUUUUGGUCAAGAAAAAAGUAGAGUUUAUCUCCUCCGUUACGUUGAAUCAAGUUUUAGAACAAAAUUAAUUGAUAUUUAGUUUGCAUCCAAAAUUUUCCUUUAGUUUUACAUAGUGUUGUUGUGAUGCAUGUAACUGGGUAUGAGAAGAAACUCUUGUUCUGUUGUUCAUAUAAUUCCUUGCUUACAUUUUUCUGUCCAUUUUGCAUAUUAAUAGCUCUUGCUUUUUAAUAGGUCAUCGAGUUUCUUUGUGACAACUGCAGUUUUGCACAUUUCUAAAUUAUUCUCUUGAUAUGAAGGGCAUGGAAAUAAGAGAUCAAAUUUUCCUUCUCAUUCUCAUGCGACUCCUGAUAUUUGACCUAUCAGCUAUGUGCAUCUGGGCUUUCAUACAUGUUAUUUAGCUUACGGUGAGAUCUGCAUCUUUGUAUUGCAGGUGGUUGUCAAUCUGCUUUUUCUAACAACAUUGGGAAGGGUGCUCUUAGGCGAUGUUGUUCCUUAUGCUGAUAGUUCCAGUAUUCCACCACACUUGUUGAUAUUACUUGUGUAGGCUUACUUCAGAAGUUCAGCUCCCUUCUUGGGUUCCCGUAGAGGAAGAGACUCUCAUCUCCUCUUAGCUGCAAUGGACGAGUCAAUAUGCCCUAGGAAGUUGUGGACAUCGUAGGUGUGUCCACCUUAUCAUGGUGCGUGCAUCCAUGAUAGAGACAAGUGAAUCAAGUAAUUCGGUAUGAACUUCUUGAGUGCAUGGGGUACUAAAGGUGCAACAACAUCAAGGACUGUGCCACGAGGAACAGUUGGAGCGGUCGUGGAAACAUCGGGGAUGCUUAUCAUCACCCAUGAGGACGGACACAACCACGUGCAGCUGCUCUACUUGUCGGUGCUCACCGCAAAUUCUAAAGCCUGACUGAAGCUACGAAUGGCAAAAGACGAUAGAAGAACUCUAAAUUUUUAUGCCAUGAUGGAACAGAUCAUUUAGCUACUCUUUGGUUAUUUAGUCUGACAAAAGAUCAGAAUGCAAGUGAAAUUUGUAACACCAAGGCAAAUAUUUUCCCGCUAUAUUUUUCAUGAUGUAUAAUAGAUAGUACUUGAUUGGGGUGCAAUACAUUUACCUUUUGAAAUAUUC